GGCUGCAACUCGCCUACAUGAAGCCGGAAUCGCUAGUAAUCGCGGAUCAGCAUGCCGCGGUGAAUACGUUCCCGGGCCUUGUACACACCGCCCGUCACACCACGAGAGUUUGUAACACCCGAAGUCGGUGGGGUAACCGUAAGGAGCCAGCCGCCUAAGGUGGGACAGAUGAUUGGGGUGAAGUCGUAACAAGGUAGCCGUAUCGGAAGGUGCGGCUGGAUCACCUCCUUU
rnacentral:ncRNA from 1 species